rnacentral:lncRNA from 1 species
CUGCAAUACUAGUUAACAACAAGAAAAAAUGAAAGCAUCAAUUUUUAGGAAGGGGAAGAGAGGGAUAUUUGCAAUGCAAAAAUCAAACAAACCCAAAAUUCCAAAAAGUUCUCCAGAUUAUACUAGGGGUAGAGAAAAAUUCUUCUGACUUAGUGAAGGUAUUCAAUAUCUGUGAAAGUGAAGCCCUUUAUCACAGAUGAUACUCAGAGCUGCCACAGCACCCUGCCCCAUGCUUACGUGCUUUAGGUAACUGAUUUUCUACUGCGACUGUAGGAAGCGAGUCUGAACACAAGCCCAAUUUUACAGAUGAGGAACCAAACUCAGGAAGCCAUACCAUCCUCUCAUCCUCAAGGUGUGGUAUAAACAGGUGUCUUGGUCCCCUGUCCUAACACAAGAGAUGCAGGCAACUUCUUCAGCAAUGGCCACAAGUGCGCACUCAGCAAGAACUGCUCGAAGGCUUUGGAGUGAGAUGCGCCAACAUCACUGCCUAACGAGGGGACGCCCGCAGCCUUCCUGAGCUUCACUUUUCAUCUAUCAAAAAUGAAGAUCAUGGGGCCAGCUCCGCGGCAGAGCAGUUAAGUUGGCGUGCUCCGCUUCAGCGGCCCAGGGUUUCACGGGUUCAAAUCCUGGGCGCGGACACGGCACCGCUCAUCAGGCCACAUUGAGGUUGUGUCCCACAUGCCAUAACUAGAAGGACCCACAAAUAAAAUAUACAACUAUGUACUGGGGGGAUUCGGGGAGAAAAAACAGGGGGGAAAAAAAGAUUGGCAACGGUUGUUAGCUCAGGUGCCAAUCUUAAAAAAAAAACAAACAAAAAACACCAGUGAAGAUCAUAAUCCCCACACCCUCCCUACCUCCCAGAGACCAGAGAAUGUACCGUCAGAUGCUACGCCUAGGCUGCUUGGCUCUCCGGCGUGGGUGACAGGAGUGGGCCCAGUGUGCUUGACGUGGUGGAGUCACCCAAGAUCCGGCAGGGUGGAGGUCAGGGAAUGAAAAUGAGGCCUUCGGGGCAGGUUCUCUCACUCUCCUGCCUCUCCCCCUGCCCUCUAGCCCCUGGGAGGCCUCAGCCACUUCACUCCACCAACGCCCCCUUCGUAAGAACCUUCCACCCAGUCCAACUCUGUUAUCUGUAACAGACUCCUAAAUAUGCCGCGUGCAUUCCACAUUUGGCUAAUGCCAUUCCCUUCAAUUUACCUUUACUUUCUCUACAAAUGUCUCAGACCCUGGCUGCUCUCCCAGGCUCAGAUCAAAUCCAUUCCACUUCCACAAAACUGUCUUGGUCUCCAGCCCCAUAAGCCCCUGAAAUCCCAAACAUUUACUAACCUGUUACAUUCCCCAGUUGGCCUUUAGGUAUUCUGCACUCCACAGCAGUCCUACAACAAUGCAGGUAUGCAUGCAUUCGCCCAUCCAUCCAUGCAUCCACCCAUCCAUGCAACUACUCACCCAUCCAUGCAUCCACUCAAUAAAUAUUAUCGAUCACCUGCCAUAUGCCGGGUACUGUCCCACCACUUCCCUUGUCCAUUCUCUUCCCAUCUCCAAGAUGACUAUUUCCCACCUCCUACUCUCCCUCAAACCUCUACCACUCACUCCCUCAGCAAUCUCACCCAGUCUCAUAGCAUUAGGUACCACCUUAGUCACUGAGACCCGCCCUGACCUCUCUCCUACACUCCAGGUUCCAACACCCAAUACCAUCUCCACUUGGGUGUCUAACGGGCAACUUAGUGUAGCCAAAUCAGAACUCCAGAUCCCACAAAAAACCCUAUGGCCCGCUUCUCCCAGUUUUUCCCAUCUCAGUAAAUGAUUCACCCAUCUGUGCAAGCCACAAACUUCGGAGUCAUCUUUGUCUCCUCUUCGUUUUGCUCCAUCCCGCCAUGUCCAUCCAGCAGCAGACUAUUGGCUCUACCUUCAAAACCUGCUGCCUCUCUGCCCUCCACACUACAGCGCUAGUCCAAGCCCCUGUGGUUCCAGUGGGACAAGACAGCCUCCAGUAGGUCGACCUGCUGCCACUCUUGGCUCUGUAUAUUCUUUGCACAACAGCCAGAGUGAUAGUUUUAAAACACAAGACCACGAGAGAACCCUCCAAAGGCCGCUGAACAUCCCCUAUUGGAUUUCCUGCUACGUCCUCAGGGCAUACAAGCCCUCCAUGAUCCGGCCUCUGCCCGACUUCACCUGUUGCCACUCGCCUCCACCCUCACUGGCUUGCUUGAAAAUUUGUCAAAUGCACCAACACAGGACCUCUGCCCUGGUGGCCCUUCUGCCUGAAAAGCCGCCGCUCCCCUCAAUGACUUACCCGCCUGCCUGGCACUCCUCUCCCUCCUACCCCUUCAGAGCACUUAUCACAACCUAACAUUGCUUUAAAUAUUUAUUUUGUUCAUUUUUCACCUGUUUCCUCCAUCAGAAGAUCAACUCCACAAAAGCAAGGAUUUGGCUAUUUGGUUUGAUGCUGUAUUCCCAAUGCUAAAAUAAUGCAGAGACAGGGUCGGGCCCAGUGGCUGAGUGGUUAAGUUCACGCACUCCACUUCGGCGGCUUAGGGUUUGCCAGUUCAGAUCCCGGGUGUGGAGCUAUACGCCACUCAUCAAGUCAUGCUAUGGCAGCAUCCCACAUACGAAGCGGAGGAGGAUUGGCACAGAUGUUAGCUCAGGGCCAAUCUUCCUCUCCAAAAUAAUAAUAACAAUAAUGCUGGUACAUAGCAAGGACUUGAUAAAUAUCUACUGAAUGAAUGAAUGAGUCCUGCCUAGUUGUUUCCUUACUAGAUAUGUCUGAUCUCCCCUCACCUGAGGUUGAGCAGCCUAUGACCAGGGGCAGCAUCGUGUUCAUCCUUUCACCUUCCUACGCCUCCUGGCCCGGGAGCCAGUUACAAGAGCAGGUACAGGCCUGGGAAUGACAAUCAGGCUGCACGAUCAAUGGGAAGUGCUGCCUGGCAUGAUGUGACGAGAAGGACCCGGAGGCCAGUCUAGGUAUAGCAUUAUCGAUUUCUGAUGUGGGCCAAGGGCCGGAGGUGGGAAAUAAAAGUGCAGUCUUUGGGGCUGCCAAGCCUGUUAACCCGGGGAUCCUUGAGGCUGGAGAGAAAGCUGAAUUGGCAGGGAAGGGCAGGCCAGUCCUGGCCAGUCCUCAGGUUUGGGAAGCUAAGGAGAUAGGCCACUAACCCACAGGGCAGCAGAUGCCAGUGGGCCCCAGGAUACCAGGUGAUGCUGCCCCAUCAGCCCUCCGCCCCUGGAGAGACCCUCAAGCCCACCAUCUCGGCCAUUACUCCACAGCACUUGUGGCUCAUGCAAGACACAGAAGCUGAGGGGAGCAGCCACUGAGCUAAAUGUCUCUCAGACCUGGGGACAGAGGCAGAAAUGGCCCCACAUAACUUAGAGUGGGCCACUUUGGCCUUUUGAUGUGACUCUUGGCAUCUGAUAAGAGUUCCACAGACACUUAUCCAGGAGGUCUAGCCACUCCUUCCUGCAGGAGACCAGCCUGGAUGUAACAGGAGGGGCAGGCCCUGGGGUGUUCUGCACAGCCAUGCUAUCCCCUUGCUCCCAGCCCCCCACCAGGCACAGAAACAGUCAAGCUGCUGGGGCACAUGCCCUACAUCCCCCUAACCUGGGGCCACCACACUGCCACCUGCUCCUCCCUGCCAGCAGGGUGAACUCCCAGAAGGCCCUCCCUUGCAGUCUCCAUCCUGGCCUGCAGCUCCCUGGCUGGACAGUGCUCCGGCCAGCAGGGGGGCUCGUGGUCACUUGGGGACAGGAAGGCUGAAACCCCUUUUCCUGUUCUUCUCUUUCAAAGUUGGCAGACCUGACCUCUUUCAUAACAUUAUUUUAGUGACCGAAGCACUUUUGCAUCUGAGAUUUUCCGCAACCACUUUGUGGAGCUGGUCUCAAUGGCCCCACUUUCAGGAAAUGGAGGUAUUUGCUCCCUUCUCGCAGUGUAAGCAGCGGCAGGAAAGCCAAAGGCCCCGUUUCCACGCCCAGAGGAGCGAGCCCUCCCGCACCCACGACAGAGCUAGGAAGAAAGAACCAGCCAUGCAAAAGCCAAAAAAGGAACCCUUUCUCUCUCCAGAGAUUAUGAAAUCAAAGAGCAUUUUGUUGCUUCUUGGAAAUUACUCUCCUUAUGACUUGGAGGCCACACAAUUCAACAGGGCUUCCAUCAUCAUCAUCAUCAUCAUUAUUAAAACAUUUGGUUUAGUUCUCGCCUCCUUUUCGAACUUUCACACAGAGAACACAAGCGUUUACCUGCGCUCACCCAGGACCGGACGAGCAGGUCGCGCGGGCUUCCAGCCCCCUCCUUCCCGGGGCUUGGCUGCAAGACUCCCGCAACAUCUCGAAAUCCCCCCAGAUCUGCGCGGUCACUGUGGGAAGGAGGCCGGCUCUGACAAGCCCAGGCAAGCCCAGGCAGAGCCCGCUUCUGGUCCUCCCUCCUGCGCUCACCACCCGGGCCCGGGGAGGGAGAAGCCUCUCGCCCGCCCAGAUCCGGGGAGUCAGCUCGCACCCGGGACGGGGCGCCGGCAUCUCCUCCACCAGAAAAGAAAAAGGGCCAGGUGGGGAAAAGAGGAGCGGGUGGGGGCGGCGCCAGCUCGCGCGGGAUUGGGGUGGCGGCGCAGCGGGCGCCGGGCUCACGUCGGGGGAUGGGGUGUGCUCACUGCCGGAGGCCAGGGCCGCCGCGUCGGGGCGCGCUGCAGGGCAAUGGCGCGCGCCUGGCCGUGGAGCAGGUUUCCCGGGCACAGGGUCCGGGCCCCGUGCCCCUCCACCGCCGCCGCCUGCCCGGGCUGGCGCUUCCCUGGCCAGAGCGCCGACUUUGCGCAGCGCCCCUCGCCUCCGCCCCCCGCCGAGUCCCGGGGCGCGCCUCCCAGAGCCGAUGUCCGGGGCUCCACGGCCAUCGCGACUCUUGCGCAGGCUCCUCGCCUGUCCGCGGCGGGACCGAAGCCCAGGCGGGCCGAGGGGGUCCUGUAAGAAAACAAACGGAAUCCACGGGGACGCUCGCCGCGACGCCCAGCCCCCGGGCCUCUCCCCGGGAACAGGGAAGAAGAAACCUGCGUCCCGGGCGCGGGUGACGGACGUGUCCCGGGUCUGGACCUGUCGUCUCCACGACAUUGUCAGCCUGGAGAGCUCAAAGGUCCCACGCAGCCCCAGAUUCAAGGAGAUGAGAAAGGACUUCUAGUGCCAGAAACGGGCACCCCACGCGGCCACCGCCUGCCGGCCCGGCGCCCCGCCCCCACUCACCGCGCCCCCAAGUUCCGGCGCUGCGGGCCGCUGGGGUGACACCGUUCCGUGCGGCCCGGGGCGCAGGAGCAGGCGUGGGGCACGGCCGAGGCGCGGCGCUGGGGAGCCGGGUGCUCCAGGCGGGGUCCGUGAGCUGGGCAGGGCCCUGGCGAAGCGCCCCGCACCCGCCUAAAGGUUCCCGGAAACAAAAACGCGGACGCGGGUCCCAAACUUGAAGUCGCAGGAAGGCACCCGGCAGCGCGGGAGAUGCGCACCUCCCAUUUCUCGCCGUUUCCGCGCUACCGUGCGCGUGGAGCCGGGCGCCCUCGGGUUUGGUGGGGACGCACGUGCAGGGGCGGCCCUGCAGACCCCGCCCCCCGCCCCGCUGUGCGGAGAGGGGUCUCCAGCCGUCAUCCCGCCCCCAAGCAUCACAGAUCCCACCCAGUCCGACCUGGUCGGGACUUCGGGACCUUUGGGAGACAAACCACCACGCAGCCCGCAGCGCCCAGGUACGAUGGGGCAAGGAGUCCCCGGGUCUCCCUCUGCUCCAGGUGUUUGUGCCCUCGGGGUUGUUGUAGGACAGAAACCGCUUCAUCAGGAGCAGACCCUCCUCGCAGACGCACACCUACACACACUCGCGGGAGUCUGCGGGAUGCGCCGGCGACCCGGCAGGCACGGUCUCCUCCACACGGACAGAACUGAAGGGCGAAGGCCUCCUUGGCCUCAGGAGGCAAGGGCUCCCUGCAGGGAGAGCGGAAACUCAUUCGUCCUGCACUGAGAGAAAACGGUCCUGAGAGGAGGACUGGAAAGGGCUGUUGCCAGAUGUGUAAUCCCAUUUGGGCACACCGGAGGGAGCGAGUGGAGGCCAGGUGUGAGCUGCCGCAUCUGACACAUUAGGAUCCCGAAGCUCACAGGGAUGAAUCUGUGUGGAGCUCGUGUUUCCCAGACUUUUCCAGGGAUUCUAGAACAGUCCUAGAGAAGGAGAGAGCCAGCCGGCAGAACCCAUCCAGCACGUGGACAUACAUACGCCCCUGACUCACAAGCCGGAGAGCAACGGAGGUAGCGUGGACAAGCCUCAACUUCUGCCCCCCGCGGGGCGCUGCACCUGCGUCCCCAGACCCAGCGGUGAAACAGGGCACCCAGGAGGCAUUCAGGUCUUAAUUUAACCACAGAGACCCGAGGAGUCCUGCUUCCCAGUCAACCUACCAAUGGAUCGCGUCCAAAAAUGUGAAUGACAAAAAGGAAAACAAUGUCCUGGGAUUAGAUCAUGGUGAUGGUUGCACAAUUUCGUGAAUAUAAUAAAUCCCACUGAAUUGUACACUUUUUAAUGGUAGAACUUAUGGCAUGUGAGUUAUAUCUCAGGAGAAAACAAACAAACAAAAAGGAGCCCCCAUUCCUCCUUACUGGCUAGACAUACUCGGCAUGAAGCCGGCAGGACGGAAAGCCCUGCACCUUGGUCAACGCUACCUCCCUCACUUAGAAGAUGGAAUCCUGGUUGUGGGUGACUCAGGAGGGUCAGCAUCCUAUGGCUGCAGUGGUUUUCGGCCAGGGCCCUGAGGCCAAAGCAGCCUGUCUCUUAGGCCCUUGAAGAUGGGACUGUAGCUACAGGGCCUCGGCCCAGACCCUGCAGAAGAAAGGGGUCUUGCGGGCUGGGGCUUUCUUCAUUGUGGCCCCAACAUCAGAGACUUACUCCGUGGGGUGAUGGUGUACGGGCCAGUGUGUAUUAUGUGGCAUGGGUGGGGGGGUGCUCCAGGGAGCCCACCUAGCACUGACAAAGCCCUGUGUUGGCAGGCGCAAUUUUCAAGGCCCCAUCUCUGAAGAAGGAAGCCCAGCUUGGUGAAGAAAUCACCACCGGAUUAAAAAUAACAAAUAAAUGUAAAGAGUCAAAAUGCUGUAUAAAGGGGAGAAUUGCUUUGAAGUAUUUCCUCAUUGCUAUGCUGACUAGACAUUUUAACUAAACAUAGCUUUAAGGUUCUGUUUAUUUUCCAGCUCCUAAAGUCACUCUUUGGCUCAUGCAUCA